UACCGCAUAAGACCACACUUCCACAUGGGAGAGGGGUCAAAGGAGCAAUCCGCUGAAAGAUGGGCUCGCGUCCGAUUAGAUAGUUGGGGGGGUAACGGCCCACCAAGUCGACGAUCGGUAGCCGGACUGAGAGGUUGAACGGCCACAUUGGGACUGAGACACGGCCCAGACUCCUACGGGAGGCAGCAGUGAGGGAUAUUGGUCAAUGGGGGAAACCCUGAACCAGCAACGCCGCGUGAGGGAAGACGGUUUUCGGAUUGUAAACCUCUGUCCUCUGUGAAGAUAAUGACGGUAGCAGAGGAGGAAGCUCCGGCUAACUACGUGCCAGCAGCCGCGGUAAUACGUAGGGAGCGAGCGUUGUCCGGAUUUACUGGGUGUAAAGGGUGCGUAGGCGGGUAAGCAAGUCAGAAGUGAAAUCCAUGGGCUUAACCCAUGAACUGCUUUUGAAACUGUUUAUCUUGAGUGAAGUAGAGGUAGGCGGAAUUCCCGGUGUAGCGGUGAAAUGCGUAGAGAUCGGGAGGAACACCAGUGGCGAAGGCGGCCUACUGGGCUUUAACUGACGCUGAAGCACGAAAGCGUGGGUAGCAAACAGGAUUAGAUACCCUGGUAGUCCAUGCCGUAAACGAU
rnacentral:rRNA from 1 species